GCAAAUUCAAAGGAAAGACCAUUGUUGGAGGGAGUGAUCCGGAAGAAUUCCUAGCCCUUACCUGUCUCAGUCAUGCUUCUUGCCAAAGAAAAAGAGAAAUCUCCAAGUAUCUUAAUGCUUUCAGCGCUUCUCCAAUCUGACAAAUAUUUAUUCAGAUUCGAACUGACUGCCCAAGCUUCACUGCAGCUCCUCGUUUCCUGUUAGAUCUUUUUAAAAAUCUUUGCUUAAAACAUUGAAGGCUGAACGAUGAGCAAGAAAAUCUUGCCUGUGAAUAAGACACUGGGAACUGCACAGAAUCAACAUCAGCUCACAAGCUCAUCAUCUCACGCACGGAUUCCUGAGCACAUUCUCGCAUUCUUGCUCUUAAUCCUCCCUUGGCGACCUUCUACUCAGACAUCAUCUUUUAUGCAGAGAAGCAGGCACGUUUCUCAUCAUUAAUUCUGUUCUCAGCCAGGUGUGUAGCCACAGAGCAUACAGACCACAGGAUGAUUGAAAGCAUAUUGACUUUCCUGACUUCUUAUGACCACAUUUGAGGAAAGGAGUAAGCACUGGAAUCACCAACACAGCAUGCUUACGGAGGGUGGUCACCAGCUUCAUCAGCCUCCCAAUUCCACGGAGCCCCUUGAAAAUCCAGGAGCGCAGACUGGCAACAGUAGAGAUUUAAUAGGCUAUUGCUGAGCUGAAGAG
rnacentral:lncRNA from 1 species